CUGAUCGCACGGCCAAGCGCCAGCGACGUAUCUUUCAAAGGUGUGCCCUAUCAACUUUCGAUGGUAGGUGAUAUGCCUACCAUGGUUAUGACGGGUAACGGGGAAUCAGGGUUCGAUUCCGGAGAGGGAGCCUUAGAAAUGGCUACCACAUCUAAGGAAGGCAGCAGGCGCGCAAAUUACCCACUGUCAGCUGGAGGAGGUAGUGACGAAAAAUAACGAUAUGAGACUCAAAUGAGGCCCGAUAAUUGGAAUGAGAACAAUUUAAAUCCUUUAACGAGGAACAAUUGGAGGGCAAGUCUGGUGCCAGCAGCCGCGGUAACUCCAGCUCCA
rnacentral:rRNA from 1 species